CAGUUCCACCAGUACCAGGUGGUCGGGAGGGGCCUGCCGACGCCGACCGAGGAGCAUCCCAGGAUCUACCGCAUGAAGCUCUGGGCCACCAACGAGGUCCGCGCCAAAUCCAAUUUCUGGAUUCAAAUUUGGAAGCCUCUCGAGGUGAAGAAGAGCAACGGCCAGAUCCUCGCCUUCAACGAGAUUGUUGAGAAGAACCCCACCACAAUCAAGAACUUUGGUAUCUGGCUGUGUUACCAAAGCAGGACUGGAUACCACAACAUGUACAAGGAGUACCGUGACACCACCCUCAAUGGCGCAGUGGAGCAGAUGUACACGGAGAUGGCUUCCCGCCACCGUGUCAGAUCCCCCUGCAUCCAGAUCAUCAAGACAGCCACUGUCCACUUCAACAUCUGCAAGCGUGAUAACACUAAGCAGUUUCACAAGUCGGACAUCAGGUUCCCGCUGGUCUACCAGAAGGUCAGGCCACUAACCAGGAAGCUGAAGACGACCUUCAAGGCAUCGAUGUGA
rnacentral:rRNA from 1 species